UUAUUUUUUUGGUAACAACUA
rnacentral:piRNA from 1 species